rnacentral:rRNA from 2 species
UUCCGGUUGAUCCUGCCGGACCUGACUGCUAUCGGAUUGAUACUAAGCCAUGCGAGUCAUUGUAGCAAUACAAGGCAUACGGCUCAGUAACGCGUAGUCAACCUACCCUAUGGACGGAAAUAACCUCGGGAAACUGAGAAUAAUAUCCGAUAGAACAUUAUGCCUGGAAUGGUUUAUGUUCCAAAUGAUUUAUCGCCGUAGGAUGGGACUGCGGCCUAUCAGUUUGUUGGUGAGGUAAUGGCCCACCAAGACUAUUACAGGUACGGGCUCUGAGAGGAGUAGCCCGGAGAUGGGUACUGAGACACGGACCCAGGCCCUAUGGGGCGCAGCAGGCGAGAAAACUUUGCAAUGUGCGAAAGCACGACAAGGUUAAUCCGAGUGAUUUCUGCUAAAGAAAUCUUUUGUUAGUCCUAGAAACACUAACGAAUAAGGGGUGGGCAAGUUCUGGUGUCAGCCGCCGCGGUAAAACCAGCACCUCAAGUGGUCAGGAUGAUUAUUGGGCCUAAAGCAUCCGUAGCCGGCUCUGUAAGUCCUCGGUUAAAUCUGUACGCUUAACGUACAGGCUGCCGGGAAUACUGCAUAGCUAGGGAGUGGGAGAGGUAGACGGUACUCGGUAGGAAGGGGUAAAAUCCUUUGAUCUAUUGAUGACCACCUGUGGCGAAGGCGGUCUACCAGAACACGUCCGACGGUGAGGGAUGAAAGCUGGGGGAGCAAACCGGAUUAGAUACCCGGGUAGUCCCAGCUGUAAACUAUGCGAACUCAGUGAUGCAUUGGCUUGUGGCCAAUGCAGUGCUGCAGGGAAGCCGUUAAGUUUGCCGCCUGGGAAGUACGUACGCAAGUAUGAAACUUAAAGGAAUUGGCGGGGGAGCACCACAA